AAGCGACAUUAAAGAUCUACAACGACCAAAGCCGAAUUCUGUAGCACCAGAUGAAGAACAACUUGUCCAUAUUGAGUAGAUCUUUAUAGCUUGAGUCGUCAAUGUAAUAACCUAUCCUCCUUGGUUUAAAUUAUUGAUUUAUUUGUAGAGUAGAUCAUUUGUACCCAUAAUGAUUUUUUUACAUUUCAUUUAUUUGUUGAGUUAUUUCAUGUAAUUUUCGAAGGCU
rnacentral:lncRNA from 1 species